rnacentral:rRNA from 1 species
GGAGGAAAAGAACUAACAAGGAUUCCCCUAGUAACUGCGAGUGAAGCGGGAAAAGCUCAAAUUUAAAAUCUGGCGGUCUUUGGUCGUCCGAGUUGUAAUCUAGAGAAGUGAUGCCCGCGCUGGACCGUGUACAAGUCUCCUGGGAUGGAGCGUCAUAGAGGGUGAGAAUCCCGUCUCUGACACGGACUACCAGGGCUUUGUGGUACGCUCUCAAAGAGUCGAGUUGUUUGGGAAUGCAGCUCAAAAUGGGUGGUAAAUUCCAUCUAAAGCUAAAUAUUGGCGAGAGACCGAUAGCGAACAAGUACCGUGAGGGAAAGAUGAAAAGAACUUUGGAAAGAGAGUUAAACAGUACGUGAAAUUGCUGAAAGGGAAACGCUUGAAGUCAGUCACGUUGACUGGGGAUCAGCCUCGCUCUUCUGCGUGGUGUACUUCCUGGUUGACGGGUCAGCAUCAAUUUUGACCGCUGGAAAAAGGCUUGAGGAAUGUGGCAGCUCCGGCUGUGUUAUAGCUUCUUGUCAUAUACAGCGGUUGGGAUUGAGGAACUCAGCACGCCGCAAGGCCGGGUUUCGACCACGUUCGUGCUUAGGAUGCUGGCAUAAUGGCUUUA